GGUCUGGUGGUGUAGUUGGUUAUCACGUCAGUCUAACAUCUCAUCGACUCGCAUCGAUGGGCUGGGCACACUGAAGGUCUCCGGUUCAAGUCCGGGCUAGAUCA
rfam:Colletotrichum incanum strain MAFF 238704 contig499, whole genome shotgun sequence.